GACGAACGCUGGCGGCGUGCUUAACACAUGCAAGUCGAACGGAAAGGCCCUGCUUUUGUGGGGUGCUCGAGUGGCGAACGGGUGAGUAACACGUGAGUAACCUGCCCUUGACUUUGGGAUAACUUCAGGAAACUGGGGCUAAUACCGGAUAGGAGCUCCUGCUGCAUGGUGGGGGUUGGAAAGUUUCGGCGGUUGGGGAUUGACUCGCGGCUUAUCAGCUUGUUGGUGGGGUAGUGGCUUACCAAGGCUUUGACGGGUAGCCGGCCUGAGAGGGUGACCGGCCACAUUGGGACUGAGAUACGGCCCAGACUCCUACGGGAGGCAGCAGUGGGGAAUAUUGCACAGUGGGCGGAAGCCUGAUGCAGCAACGCCGCGUGCGGGAUGACGGCCUUCGGGUUGUAAACCGCUUUCGCCUGUGACGAAGCGUGAGUGACGGUAAUGGGUAAAGAAGCACCGGCUAACUACGUG
rnacentral:rRNA from 1 species